CUACGGGGUGUACCAGGCGAGAAAACUUUGCAAUGUGCGAAAGCACGACAAGGUUAAUCCGAGUGGUUUCUGCUAAAGGAACCUUUUGACAGUCCUAGAAACACUGUUGAAUAAGGGGUGGGCAAGUUCUGGUGUCAGCCGCCGCGGUAAAACCAGCACCUCAAGUGGUCAGGAUGAUUAUUGGGCCUAAAGCAUCCGUAGCCGGCUCUGUAAGUUUUCGGUUAAAUCUGUACGCUCAACGUACAGGCUGCCGGGAAUACUGCAGAGCUAGGGAGUGGGAGAGGUAGACGGUACUCGGUAGGAAGGGGUAAAAUCCUUUGAUCUAUUGAUGACCACCUGUGGCGAAGGCGGUCUACCAGAACACGUCCGACGGUGAGGGAUGAAAGCUGGGGGAGCAAACCGGAUUAGAUACCCGCGUAGUC
rnacentral:rRNA from 1 species